rnacentral:rRNA from 1 species
GUUAAGCGACUAAGCGUACACGGUGGAUGCCCUGGCAGUCAGAGGCGAUGAAGGACGUGCUAAUCUGCGAUAAGCGUCGGUAAGGUGAUAUGAACCGUUAUAACCGGCGAUUUCCGAAUGGGGAAACCCAGUGUGAUUCGUCACACUAUCAUUAACUGAAUCCAUAGGUUAAUGAGGCGAACCGGGGGAACUGAAACAUCUAAGUACCCCGAGGAAAAGAAAUCAACCGAGAUUCCCCCAGUAGCGGCGAGCGAACGGGGAGCAGCCCAGAGCCUGAAUCAGUGUGUGUGUUAGUGGAAGCGUCUGGAAAGGCGCGCGAUACAGGGUGACAGCCCCGUACACAAAAAUGCACAUGCUGUGAGCUCGAUGAGUAGGGCGGGACACGUGGUAUCCUGUCUGAAUAUGGGGGGACCAUCCUCCAAGGCUAAAUACUCCUGACUGACCGAUAGUGAACCAGUACCGUGAGGGAAAGGCGAAAAGAACCCCGGCGAGGGGAGUGAAAAAGAACCUGAAACCGUGUACGUACAAGCAGUGGGAGCACAGAGCAAUCUGUGUGACUGCGUACCUUUUGUAUAAUGGGUCAGCGACUUAUAUUCUGUAGCAAGGUUAACCGAAUAGGGGAGCCGAAGGGAAACCGAGUCUUAACUGGGCGUUAAGUUGCAGGGUAUAGACCCGAAACCCGGUGAUCUAGCCAUGGGCAGGUUGAAGGUUGGGUAACACUAACUGGAGGACCGAACCGACUAAUGUUGAAAAAUUAGCGGAUGACUUGUGGCUGGGGGUGAAAGGCCAAUCAAACCGGGAGAUAGCUGGUUCUCCCCGAAAGCUAUUUAGGUAGCGCCUCGUGAAUUCAUCUCCGGGGGUAGAGCACUGUUUCGGCAAGGGGGUCAUCCCGACUUACCAACCCGAUGCAAACUGCGAAUACCGGAGAAUGUUAUCACGGGAGACACACGGCGGGUGCUAACGUCCGUCGUGAAGAGGGAAACAACCCAGACCGCCAGCUAAGGUCCCAAAGUCAUGGUUAAGUGGGAAACGAUGUGGGAAGGCCCAGACAGCCAGGAUGUUGGCUUAGAAGCAGCCAUCAUUUAAAGAAAGCGUAAUAGCUCACUGGUCGAGUCGGCCUGCGCGGAAGAUGUAACGGGGCUAAACCAUGCACCGAAGCUGCGGCAGCGACGCUUAUGCGUUGUUGGGUAGGGGAGCGUUCUGUAAGCCUGCGAAGGUGUGCUGUGAGGCAUGCUGGAGGUAUCAGAAGUGCGAAUGCUGACAUAAGUAACGAUAAAGCGGGUGAAAAGCCCGCUCGCCGGAAGACCAAGGGUUCCUGUCCAACGUUAAUCGGGGCAGGGUGAGUCGACCCCUAAGGCGAGGCCGAAAGGCGUAGUCGAUGGGAAACAGGUUAAUAUUCCUGUACUUGGUGUUACUGCGAAGGGGGGACGGAGAAGGCUAUGUUGGCCGGGCGACGGUUGUCCCGGUUUAAGCGUGUAGGCUGGUUUUCCAGGCAAAUCCGGAAAAUCAAGGCUGAGGCGUGAUGACGAGGCACUACGGUGCUGAAGCAACAAAUGCCCUGCUUCCAGGAAAAGCCUCUAAGCAUCAGGUAACAUCAAAUCGUACCCCAAACCGACACAGGUGGUCAGGUAGAGAAUACCAAGGCGCUUGAGAGAACUCGGGUGAAGGAACUAGGCAAAAUGGUGCCGUAACUUCGGGAGAAGGCACGCUGAUAUGUAGGUGAAGUCCCUCGCGGAUGGAGCUGAAAUCAGUCGAAGAUACCAGCUGGCUGCAACUGUUUAUUAAAAACACAGCACUGUGCAAACACGAAAGUGGACGUAUACGGUGUGACGCCUGCCCGGUGCCGGAAGGUUAAUUGAUGGGGUCAGCGCAAGCGAAGCUCUUGAUCGAAGCCCCGGUAAACGGCGGCCGUAACUAUAACGGUCCUAAGGUAGCGAAAUUCCUUGUCGGGUAAGUUCCGACCUGCACGAAUGGCGUAAUGAUGGCCAGGCUGUCUCCACCCGAGACUCAGUGAAAUUGAACUCGCUGUGAAGAUGCAGUGUACCCGCGGCAAGACGGAAAGACCCCGUGAACCUUUACUAUAGCUUGACACUGAACAUUGAGCCUUGAUGUGUAGGAUAGGUGGGAGGCUUUGAAGUGUGG